rnacentral:rRNA from 1 species
CCUGGCGAACAUAGCAAAUGGGUACCACCUGAUCCCAUCUCGAACUCAGAAGUGAAACUGUUUUGCGCCAAUGAUAGUGUGGAGUAUUCCAUGCCAAAGUAGGUAACGCCAGGC